GAAUAUCCUGAGAUAAUUGUGUUGAUGUUCUAGUUUUAGAUUCAAAGACACUGUUACACCUUUCUUUCCAGAUCAUCCACAUUUUUGUUAGAAUUAGUUAUAUAGAUAUCUCCUGUCUUGAAUUUUUAAUCCAUUCCUUAUAGGUGUCUAGUAAGGAAGUAGAGGGAUCCAGUUGUAAAGAGGUAGGGUUAGGAGCCAUUUCCGUAUCCCUCUUUUAACCUUUGGAUGUUAUAUUCGGACUUCUACUUUAUAAUAUCUCACUCAGGGAAAAAUCAAUAGAAAUAACCGGCGCAUCUUCAUCGUUGCACCACCAGCACCAUCUUCGCAUCUGCCACCACCAUCUUCAUCGUUGACAUUAUCAGCUCCGUCACUACCUAAACCACCACCUAUAGCACCACACCCGACUAUAUUCAUUUAGAUACAAAACUAAUCUGGGUAUCAACUAGAAAAUAGGCCUCAAAACUUAGAUCCGGUGAGGAAUCAACGAGAAAAAAAAAUCUUCAACCAGAAAUCAACACCACCACCACCGUUACGAUGACGGCCACCAUCGUUUCAACAAUAACAACUUCCUUUUCCAGAUAAAAAUGGAAACUAAGGUAUGAUUUAGAGAUUUGAAAUUAAAAAUCAAAUCAGAAAAUGAUUUUCAGAUUCAGCAAUUUAGAGUUUAAGGUUUCAAUUUCUGAAAAUUUUUCGAUCUUUGUUGUACAAAUUUAUCAAAAGGAGAUGGAUUCUUCAAAAUCGAUUGUGUAUUGGUGAUUUUUACAUUACAAAGGUCAGAUUCAGAUCAUGAGGUGGAGUUUCAAGACAAAAAUCAAGUGCAGAAUGGGUUCUCAGGUAGCAGAUUCAAAUAAGGUUAAAUGGAUUUGUGUGGUGGAUGUAUAGGGCUCAGUUAUGAGAUGGAAGUUGCUGGAGGUAUUUGGUGGUCAAAUGGGUGUUGAUUUAUUUGGUUUUGAGUUCGAGUUGGUGGUGUUCUGUGUGAUUUUUGGGAUCACAAAAAAAAAGAAGGAAUAAGAUGUUGCUGCUAUGGUUGCGAGAUUGAGACUCACAGAGAACCAGAUAUGGUUUGAAUGAGGGAAAAUGGUGUUCAUGGAUGCAGCAAUUUCUUUAUCUCACAUUUCUUUACAGGCAACAACAACAUGAAGAAGGAGAGAUACAAUAGAAGGCUUGUACUAAUUGUUCGAAUUGAUUGGCAGGAAGGAAUAUAUAGAUGUGUAUUGACUGUGUCGCGGCCAUGGUUGAUCAUUGGCUUCUAUUUACUAUUGUUGUGUACGAAUGGCUUGUAUUGGAGAAUGUUUGGUAUCGUGGGUGUGCUGGGAACUUUGGUGGUGGUGGGUAUUGGUGUUGCGUGUGUAGUAGUGUUGAUUGGAUUAGUUCUUGCUUUGGUUGUAAUUGGUGAUGGAAUAAGUGGAAUUGGUGGGGGUAUGAAGUUGGUGUGCGUGUAAUUGGUAAUUUUGCUUGCCGAGUACGUGAAUCAGAAGUUUUGAGUUAUGCCGCAAUGCUUAGAGAGUUCUCCUGCCGAAAUGAUCCCGAAGGAGUCAUAAGACUAUAUGAGGGUCAGCCUGCAGUGAUUAUGUGAAAGCCUUAGUCAAAGUGGAUAGGCUGGAUGAAACUGAAUUGCUCAAGACAUUGCAACGAGAUCUUUCAGCCAUUUCCUUACUAGCUCAUGACGGGUUCUGAUGCUUUUUGCCCCAUUUUUGAAGGUGGAAAUUGUAGAGAUAUACUUAAUAUGAUUAUCUUGCAGUCUUGGGUGAAUCGGUAUUGUUUUAUUAUCAGUUUACAUAUUGAUUUGGUUUAGUUGUUUCAUGAAACGUAUCAAAUAUUUUUUACAUAUUUUGGUUUAGUUGUUACAUUUAGUAGUUGAAACUUAUUUUGGUUAAUAUACGUCCUGCGUUUAUUCAUUUGCCGAGUUCACCGGUGUUUGCUACGAAUGAUAACUUCAGUAGUAUAACAACAUUGGAAUUAAAGCUUAUGCGAAACUCAAUGUUCAUUUGCUGGUAUUAUCAGACACCAUUUAGUAAUCUUGGAAGUUGGAACCUGACUUGGAUAUUGGGUGCUAAGACAGCUAAUUACUCUGAGAUACAACAGAACUUGGUAAAUACUUACUUGCUAGCAGUUCUGUCAUCAUGUCUGUUGCUGUCUUCAGGGUCCGGAUAUUUAUGUGUGAUGAACUUGUGGUGCAAUGGUAGCGCGACUGACUCCGUGUAAGAAAAUGUGUGUUCGAAUCACGCCAGGUUUACUCAUUUUUUUAACACUUUGGAGACAACUUGUGUUAGUUGGUUUCAAAUUUGGAGACAACUUGAACAAGUUGUUUCUAUAUUUGAAGACAACUUGGGCUAGUUGGCUUCAGUUUUAUAGCAACUUGUCCCUAUAUAGAUUUGCUUUUAUGGACAACUUGUGCUAGUUGCCUCCAUAUUUGGAGACACCUUGAGCUAGUUGGUUCUAGAUUGGAGACAACUUGGUACAGGUUUGUUUUUGUAGACAAUUUGUGCUAGUUGCCUCCAUAUUUGGAGACAACUUGAGCAAGUUGGUUCUAGAUUGGAGACAACUUGGGCUAGUUGUCUCAGAUUCAGAGACAAUUUGAGUUAGUUGGUUCCAUUUUGUUUUGCAAUUUUUUUUUCUGUACACUAUUUGUUGGAGACAACUUGAGCUAGUUGCCUCUCUGAUAUGGACACAACUUCAGCAAGUUGACUCCACAUGGCGGUGGUAGUUGGCGGCGGUGGUGGUAGUUGGCGGCGGUGAUGGUGGUUGACGGCGGCGGUGGGUGGUGGAUACGAGGAAAGUGGUGGUGGUCUGCGAUGGUGGUGGCUAAUGGUCGGCGGUGGCGGAAAGUGGUUGUUGACGGUGGCGGAAAAUGGUGGCGGCGGUGGU